rnacentral:rRNA from 2 species
UUACUAUAGCGGGGAAUGGCCCCUGGCGACAUCCCUACUGGCUGAGAGGAUGACCCCCACUGAACUGAGACACGGUCCACUCCACGGAGGGCGUGGGGAAUAUUGCCAAUGGGCGCAGCCUGAUGCCCCUGCCCGUGUAUAAAAGCUUCGGUUGUAAAGUACUUUCCGGGGAGGAAGCGGUGCGGUUAAUAACCCGCCAUUGACUUACCCCAAAAAAACACCGCUAACUCCUGCCCACCCGGUAAUACGAGGGUGCAGCGUUAAUCAAUUACUGGGCGUAAAGCGCACCAGCGGUCUGUUAAUCAAUGUGAAAUCCCCGGCUUACCUGGGAACUGUUUAAACUGAGCUUGAGUCUUGUAGAGGGGGGUAGAAUUCCAGUGUACGGUGAAAUGCGUAAGAUCUGGAGGAAUACCGGUGGCGAAAGCGGCCCCCUGGACAAAGACUGACCUCGUGCGAAAGCGUGUGGAGAACACGAAAUACUGAGCCACCCUAAACGAUUCACCAGGUGUUCCCUUGAGGAGGGGCCAGUCCGGAGCUAACGCGUUAAGUCGACCGCCUGGGGAGUACGGCCGCAAGGUUAAAACUCAAAUGAAUUGACGGGGGCCCGCACAAGCGGUGGAGCAUGUGGUUUAAUUCGAUGCAACGCGAAGAACCUUACCUACUCUUGACAUCCAGAGAAYUUUCCAGAGAUGGAUUGGUGCCUUCGGGAACUCUGAGACAGGUGCUGCAUGGCUGUCGUCAGCUCGUGUUGUGAAAUGUUGGGUUAAGUCCCGCAACGAGCGCAACCCUUAUCCUUUGUUGCCAGCGCGUAAUGGCGGGAACUCAAAGGAGACUGCCGGUGAUAAACCGGAGGAAGGUGGGGAUGACGUCAAGUCAUCAUGGCCCUUACGAGUAGGGCUACACACGUGCUACAAUGGCGCAUACAAAGAGAAGCGACCUCGCGAGAGCAAGCGGACCUCACAAAGUGCGUCGUAGUCC